rnacentral:rRNA from 1 species
AUUCCAGCUCCAAUAGCGUAUAUUAAAGUUGUUGCAGUUAAAAAGCUCGUAGUUGGAUUUCAGUCUUAGUUCGUCUGGCCCGCUCCCUUGAGGAGCCGAGUGCCGGUUGCGAGCUGGACUUCCUUCUAGCAUGGAACCUCUACCGUUAUGCGGCCGGGGGGGACAUCUGGAUCAUUUACUUUGAAGAAAUUAGAGUGUUCAAAGCAAGCUUACGCUGUGAAUAUAUUAGCAUGGAAUAAUAACAUAGGACUCGGGUUCUAUUUUGUUGGUUUCUAGGACUCAAGUAAUGAUUGAUAGGGACAGUUGGGGGUGCUGCUAUUAUAUGGCCAGAGGUGAAAUUCACGGAUUCAUAUAAGAGCAACUUAUGCGAAAGCAUUCACCAAGGAUGUCUUCAUUG